GAAAAGCACAAGCGACUCGCAGCCGCGCAAAAAGGUCCCGCCUCGGGAUGCGCUGGGGCGGCUGCCGCGGCUGCGCCCCUUGUAUCAGUACAUCAACCUCAGCACGGAGCUGAUGCGCCCAGCAGAAGAGGAGGCUCAGCACCAGCAGCCCACAGCUGAUGAGUGCUCAGAGCCAAGGACCAGCUGAGUUCCCACCCUUUAGAAAAGCACGUCAGUACAUUUCUUUCUGUCAGUUUGAAACUAUUUUGAAAGGAAAUAAAUACCUGAAGGUAAAUGCCUCAUUUAGAAACUGAGCAAAGAACCCAGCAAACCCAGGAAGAUUUUGCUCCUCAGCUUGCACCUUCCAGCUAUUUCUACAACCAGACAGGCAGAAAAAGAUCUCAUUCAUCACAACAGUCAGUGUGGGAGGCCCACGAUAGACAGGGUGUCUCUAGAGCCAGUGACUCCAGAACAGCUUUAGAAUGAGAGAAAAAGCAAAGAGGUGGGCAUAGCUCUGUGCUGUCCAAGCAAAGGGAGCUGCCAUCCUUUUCUCACCAACGGGGAAAGCGAGUCCUGUCAGCAGAUCCAUCUCCUACUUUGUCACACCAAGUGAUCAGCCCCAGCUGGAAGCUCUGUCAUGGAGGCUUCAGCUCAGCCAAAUCACAUGCAAGCACCCAGCUACAUGAAGAACACCCUGAACAAACAAUCUAUUUUGUUGUUUAUUUCUGUAGAAAACAAGUCAGACACUUGUCAGGAAGGACCAGCUUAUGAAACAGUGGUUUGCGUGUUAACGUACAUAAAUACACAGGGUUACCACUUGAGUGGGAAAUACAUUAAAAAAAGCUUUCAAGUACACAAAGUACAUGUCGUACAAUUGUACUGUCCCUAUCACAUACCUGCCUCAGAGAGGAACUCCUCUCCAAAUGAACACACUGCCACCCACCAGCUGCCAACAGCCACGAGCUGCAGGAGGGCAGG